GCGGAUGUAUCUCAAUGGUAGAGUACAAUCCUUCCAAGUUUGACGUUGCGGGUUCGAGUCCCGUCAUCCGCU
rnacentral:tRNA from 1 species